UCAGGAUGAACGCUGGCGGCGUGCUUAACACAUGCAAGUCGAACGAUGAAGCCCAGCUUGCUGGGUGGAUUAGUGGCGAACGGGUGGAGUAACACGUGAGUAACCUGCCCUUAACUCUGGGAUAAGCCUGGGAAACUGGGUCUAAUACCGGAUAGGAGCGCCUACCGCAUGGUGGGUGUUGGAAAGAUUUAUCGGUUUUGGAUGGACUCGCGGCCUAUCAGCUUGUUGGUGAGGUAAUGGCUCACCAAGGCGACGACGGGUAGCCGGCCUGAGAGGGUGACCGGCCACACUGGGACUGAGACACGGCCCAGACUCCUACGGGAGGCAGCAGUGGGGAAUAUUGCACAAUGGGCGCAAGCCUGAUGCAGCGACGCCGCGUGAGGGAUGACGGCCUUCUGGUUGUAAACCUCUUUCAGUAGGGAAGAAGCGAAAGUGACGGUACCUGCAGAAGAAGCACCGGCUAACUACGUGCCAGCAGCCGCGGUAAUACGUAGGGUGCGAGCGUUAUCCGGAAUUAUUGGGCGUAAAGAGCUCGUAGGCGGUUUGUCGCGUCUGUCGUGUAAAGUCCGGGGCUUAACCCCGGAUCUGCGGUGGGUACGGGCAGACUAGAGUGCAGUAGGGGAGACUGGAAUUCCUGGUGUAGCGGUGGAAUGCGCAGAUAUCAGGAGGAACACCGAUGGCGAAGGCAGGUCUCUGGGCUGUUACUGACGCUGAGGAGCGAAAGCAUGGGGAGCGAACAGGAUUAGAUACCCUGGUAGUCCAUGCCGUAAACGUUGGGCACUAGGUGUGGGGACCAUUCCACGGUUUCCGCGCCGCAGCUAACGCAUUAAGUGCCCCGCCUGGGGAGUACGGCCGCAAGGCUAAAACUCAAAGGAAUUGACGGGGGCCCGCACAAGCGGCGGAGCAUGCGGAUUAAUUCGAUGCAACGCGAAGAACCUUACCAAGGCUUGACAUGUUCUCGAUCGCCGUAGAGAUACGUGCUUCCCCUUUGGGGCGGGUUCACAGGUGGUGCAUGGUUGUCGUCAGCUCGUGUCGUGAGAUGUUGGGUUAAGUCCCGCAACGAGCGCAACCCUCGUUCCAUGUUGCCAGCACGUAAUGGUGGGGACUCAUGGGAGACUGCCGGGGUCAACUCGGAGGAAGGUGAGGACGACGUCAAAUCAUCAUGCCCCUUAUGUCUUGGGCUUCACGCAUGCUACAAUGGCCGGUACAAUGGGUUGCGAUACUGUGAGGUGGAGCUAAUCCCAAAAAGCCGGUCUCAGUUCGGAUUGGGGUCUGCAACUCGACCCCAUGAAGUCGGAGUCGCUAGUAAUCGCAGAUCAGCAACGCUGCGGUGAAUACGUUCCCGGGCCUUGUACACACCGCCCGUCAAGUCACGAAAGUCGGUAACACCCGAAGCCGGUGGCCUAACCCUUGUGGGGGGAGCCGUCGAAGGUGGGACCAGCGAUUGGGACUAA
rnacentral:rRNA from 1 species